GACAGAGGAUGCAAGCGUUAUCCGGAAUUAUUGGGCGUAAAGCGUCCGUAGGUGGCUAUUCAAGUCAGUUGUUAAAGCGUGGGGCUUAACUCCAUAAAGGCAAAUGAAACUGAUUAGCUAGAGUGCGAUAGGGGCAAGGGGAAUUUCCAGUGUAGCGGUGAAAUGCGUAGAUAUUGGAAAGAACACCGGUGGCGAAAGCGCCUUGCUGGGUCUGCACUGACACUGAGGGACGAAAGCUAGGGGAGCGAAAGGG
rnacentral:rRNA from 1 species